AAAUUGAAGAGUUUGAUCAUGGCUCAGAUUGAACGCUGGCGGCAGGCCUAACACAUGCAAGUCGAACGGUAACAGGAAACAGCUUGCUGUUUCGCUGACGAGUGGCGGACGGGUGAGUAAUGUCUGGGAAACUGCCUGAUGGAGGGGGAUAACUACUGGAAACGGUAGCUAAUACCGCAUAACGUCGCAAGACCAAAGAGGGGGACCUUCGGGCCUCUUGCCAUCGGAUGUGCCCAGAUGGGAUUAGCUAGUAGGUGGGGUAACGGCUCACCUAGGCGACGAUCCCUAGCUGGUCUGAGAGGAU
rnacentral:rRNA from 1 species